CGGCUCAAACCAGUCAUAAUCCUUUCUAUUUAAGCUUGCUAAGUUCCGUCAAUGUGGAUCUAGGGUUCAGACAAUUACCAAAUCCAAAUGCUCUGAUCCAUGGUUUGGUAACAGGUGGAAGGCAAAAACCUUGAAGACUUGUAACCCAUGGCGUUUGAUUUCUAUAUAAUUAUUUGCUUCCAUUUGAAGCAUCCAUAUGACGUUUUUCUCUGCUUUAGAUUCAAAAACACAUUAUGUACGUGUUGACGCCGCAAAUUAAGAGAGCAAUCGUGAAAUUCUGAAUAAUACAGUUCAAGAUUGUGUUUUGCUCAUCCUGAUUGGCUGAUCCAUUGUUUUAGGUAUGAUCGUUACCGAACUUUUUUGGAAAAUUUAUAAUUUGCAUUUAGUAAUCUUAAUUGCAUCAUAGUUUUGGCUAGGGAUGGGAAUUAGGUUUGAAUCAUUACCGAGUGUCACAUAUCCAUUGCCCUCCCCUUCCUCCUUGGAUGUUACUGUUAGUCUAAGUUUUUCUAUGCUCUUUUUCGUUAUAGUUUUUUAUGUAAUCCAAAGUUCAUAACAUCUAGCAUGUUGGUUUAUCAAAUUAGGACCGUGGAGCUAGCUUGGUAGGGUAGCGGCUCCCGGAGUGGGAUCACUCCGGCGGUUGGGAGGACAGUGCACUAUCCCCCCUGGUUUAUCAAAUUAGAUAUAUGCAGUUGCGUCAACUUCUAGCAAUGGACUUCACCUUUUAGAUUUUUAUCCACACCGCAGCUCCCCAUGCCAUUUAGAUUAUGUUGAUUCAAAGAGUCAUCGGGAGACUGUCAAGCGUAACCAAAGCGUUUUUGUGCCAUUAUCUAAAUGUGUUACUUCUUGUGCCAUUCAGCCACUUAACGGCACCAUUGUUACUUCUUUAUUAGCAAUUUCUCAAAAGCACCUUUGCAAGAAAGGAGAUAGUGAAGAUCAGCAAUCAUGAAAGAGGAUAGACCCUAUAAAUCAUAAUACAGAGGAAUGAGAUAUUUGUAAUACAAGCAAGCAGCAAUAUCCAUGUACAAUACACGAUAUGAUGUUUGUAAUACAAGCAAGCAGCUACAUCCAUAUACAAUACAUGAUAUGAUGUGCAGGGAGUAGAGGUGGUGUUGAGGGUGGAAUAUAUGUUGUGGUGUAUUACAAUGUAAAAAAUUUCACAUUAGGGAAAAUGUUUUUGAUUGAAUAUGUCUCUUACCAUAUGGAAUAUAACGAUUCUUUUUA